CAUCCUGUAUGAAAUUCGGGUCCAAAUUUCCUUGGUACUAAUAUCCCUGGAAGCAUCCCUCUGCCAAUAAUAACAUAGAUGUCGGUGGAAAUGAGAGCACUUUGAAGAUACAUCCAUGAUGCUGGCUACCCGUAAAGAAAAUAAACUGAGUGUCAAUGGAACAGACAGAGAAUCAGAGAACAAAAGAAAGUCAAGAGAUUUACCCAAGAGAGAAUGGUAGCAGAAACAGACUCGGGGGCUUUAUGGAGAGAGGAACAUAUUAACUCCUGACCUACAAGAAAGUUGGGCAGGACUUCCCUGACAGA
rnacentral:lncRNA from 1 species